CCCCCCCUACUCUUACGGGAGGCAGCAGUAGGGAAUCUUCCGCAAUGGACGAAAGUCUGACGGAGCAACGCCGCGUGAGUGAUGAAGGCUUUCGGGUCGUAAAACUCUGUUGUUAGGGAAGAACAAGUGCUAGUUGAAUAAGCUGGCACCUUGACGGUACCUAACCAGAAAGCCACGGCUAACUACGUGCCAGCAGCCGCGGUAAUACGUAGGUGGCAAGCGUUAUCCGGAAUUAUUGGGCGUAAAGCGCGCGCAGGUGGUUUCUUAAGUCUGAUGUGAAAGCCCCACGGCUCAACCGUGGAGGGUCAUUGGAAACUGGGAGACUUGAGUGCAGAAGAGGAAAGUGGAAUUCCAUGUGUAGCGGUGAAAUGCGUAGAGAUAUGGAGGAACCACCAGUGGCGAAGGCGACUUUCUGGUCUGUAACUGACACUGAGGCGCGAAAGCGUGGGGAGCAAACAGGAUUAGAUACCCUGGUAGUCCACGCCGUAAACGAUGAGUGCUAAGUGUUAGAGGGUUUCCGCCCUUUAGUGCUGAAGUUAACGCAUUAAGCACUCCGCCUGGGGAGUACGGCCGCAAGGCUGAAACUCAAAGGAAUUGACGGGGGCCCGCACAAGCGGUGGAGCAUGUGGUUUAAUUUGAAGCAACGCGAAGAACCUUACCAGGUCUUGACAUCCUCUGAAAACCCUAGAGAUAGGGCUUUGCUUAA
rnacentral:rRNA from 2 species